AGGUGCGAUCAUACCACCGUUAAUGCACCGGAUCCCAUCAAAACUCCACAGUUAAACGUGCUUGGGCUUGAGUAGUACUGGGAUGGGUGACCUCCCAUGAAGUCCUAGUGUUGCACCCU
rnacentral:rRNA from 1 species